UUUUCAUUAUCCUGUUUUGUGGUGGCCGGCCAUGGAGUGGCCGGCCAUGGAGUGGCCGGCGGCGAGUGCUUGCAGUGCAGAUGCGCGGAUUUGUGCGGCGGCGGCUGUAGCACCAAGAGGGAGUGCAGAUAGGCCGCAAGCAUCUGAACACUCGAUAGCAAGUUGAUCCACAGAUUCCCUGAUGGAUGAGAAGACUGUACGAUCUCCGCAGAUUGCUGCUUCUUUGUUCUGCCAGUGGAGGUUGAGUGUAUCAUUGCAAGUUCCUUAUACCGGCAGUGUAUCAUUGCAAGUUCCUUACACCAGCAAACUCCGUGAUUUUUGUAUUUUUGUCGAUGCAAGCCUGUUCUUCGACUAUAAAAUAGCAGAGAUUUCUUUUCUUGUCAAGUCUAAUCCUUUUUUGAUGCAUUGCAGCUUUGCUAUCAAACUCUCAGAAAGGAAAAACAACUUUAUUCUAAUUUGGCAAAGCUUGGAGGAUAUUUUUACAGGUUCAAAUCUUGCUUUAUUGCUUUAUAACCUUUCGUUCUUCAAGACAAUAUUUUCCUAGCAGUGCUCAAUAACUUUAAAUCCAUCUUUUUGUUCUUUGCAUUAUCACAAAACGGUGUUGUUCUAUCUUUUUGUUUUUGAUUGAUCAUCAGCAACGACAAUGCAACCUACAAGUAACUAUUAUCUUUUUCCAGUCCUAGCUAUGUGCAUAUUCUAUUAAUUGGUGACUUAUCCAUGCAUAGUUAAUACACUCGGCUAUAGUUUUAUAUCAUGUUUCCUUCAGGUUUGUAUAUAGGAUGUUCCUUUUAUUUUGUAGAUGUAUGCAAGAUAUUCUUCUCAUUUUGUAGAUGUAUGCAAGGUUUUUCUUUGCAAGGUCAAGCGAUGUCAUUUCCAAGAGGUUAUGAACUCCAGUGAAGUAUGCUCGAGAAAGGAUAGGACGCCGGUGGCUUAGCUCUCUUUCUAUUUGAUGGAGGAGUUUGGAGGAUCUGCAGUCAAGCCUUGCUGCCCCUUUUUCUCUUAUAUAUUUAUUUGAUUUUAUUUGGGAAUAGAAUCACUAGCAAUAUGUAUUUUUAGAUUUAGAUCUUUAGAAAGAGUAUUGGAUGUCUGAGACAUGUCCUACUUUUAGUACUGAGCUUACCAUCAGAGGUUCAGAACGACAGCCUGAUGAGAACAUUCUUAUCUAACUGAAGAUGGCUUGCUUCCCUUUUAUGGUAGAUGCUUCGGAAUACUAAUUAUACCUGACAGAAAAUGUGAUUUUUCAGCAUGAAGAUAAGAGGAUGGGAAGAUAUGAUCUUCAUGGGGCUUAGUGGUACUAUCAUAUUAUGAUAACCGCUGCAAAGUUCAUAUAAUGAUCCCUGUUUCAGACUGGGAUCAAAGGAACAAGCUGAUCAAUAGGUUUCAGCCAUGGAAUACUGCGUCAAGAAGAACGAUUGGGUUGAGCUCAUCGCGAUGCUUUGACAGGAGACUCCGUCAGCUUUCGGACAAAGUCGUUUGGGUCUAAAAAGUUUAAUUUAUCAUGGUUGCCGUCAGUGGAAUCUAUGAGGAAUGUAUUACAGAGGAAUUGACUACAGAUUAAUGGGCAUGUGGGUGGGAGCUGUAUUUCGACAUUAGAAGUGUUUAUGCUAGGAGAUGAGUCCAUGAAAUCAGUGAAAC